rnacentral:lncRNA from 1 species
CAUCUCACUUCAUACCCAGUGGUAGCUCCACAAUCAUCUUCCAUGACCUGAAUGCUCGUGUGAGCAGAACACUACGAAGCACGUUACCUGAGCAUCUCAUUUGAUUCCCACAAUCAGCUUACACUGUGGGCUCUUACCGCCUUCAUCCUGUAGACAAGGAGUCUGGGGCUCACGGGGCACAGGUGACGUGCAAACCUCAUCGAGCCAGCAAGCGUCAGCAGUGUCCAGCCGAGAACAGUCGCGACUCUCCUGUCACGCCGUUCACAUCUCUACACGCACAAGUGUCUGCAGCCUCUCCAUUCUGUCCCCCAGAGCAGCAUGUUCUGCUUUUAGAGACCAGCAGGGCACUCAGGAGUAACUGGUUGGGCAAGUCACAUCUUUCCUCCUCCUCUGCCUCCUCCUCCAUCUCCUUGUUCUUUCUCAGUGUUUUCCUGAGUGGGAGUGAACCCAACUCCGGUGAGCUGGGCCUAAACAACUGAGCUGUUGAGGUGUCUUCAUUCCCCAGGGCUGCUGCAACAAAACACCAGAAACCGGAUGGUUUCAAACAACAAACUGAUUGUCCCACAGAUGGAGCACCCAGGAGCCUGCAAUUGAGAGGCUGGCAGGGCCACGCUCCCUUUGGGGGUUCCAGGGAAGAACGUAUUCCAUUCUCCAGGCUUCUGGAGCUGCAGGCAGUCCCCGGAGCUCCUUGACUAGGAGAUGCAGCACUCCCACCUCUACCUCCGCCAGGCAUGGUGUCUGCCCUGUGCUCCUCUAGGCAUCUCUCCUUCUCUUAUAAGGACACCAGUCCCAUUGGAUCAGGGCCCACCCUACUCCAGAAUGACCUAAUCUCAACCAAAUACAGCAAGCCAUGAUGCUAUUUUCAAAGACGUUCCAGGAAGGACAGGAGUAUAGGGGGGAAAGCCCUAUUCAAAUCCUGUAUGUGCCGUAUGGAAAUACGGUAUGAAAUGUGUGUAAACCAAUUGACCCUGUAGGUCAAUUCCUAGUCCUCAGUUUCCCACAGAGGGGAGAGGCCUGUGCCUUUCUCUCCACCCCACUGUCGUGUGCCUCUCUGCAGGUGAGACCGAGAGGAGGAGGGAGCCUGCGUGGGCCGCUCAGCUGCUGGGGUGCUCUCUGUUUCCCGCCUCGUGCCUCUAAAGAAGGGAGCGGUCUUCUUCUGUGUCCCUGCUUCCCCGUGCUCAGCAUGGUGGGCUCGGGCCCCACCUGCCUUCUGGAAGCCCUGGAAGCCUGUCUGCAGAGAAAAGUGACUAUACAUCUGAAAAUAUCUGGAUUAAGGACUGACAGUGUCCGUGCAAGUAGAAAGGAAUUAUCUCCUGUAACCCCCAACCCACCAAGGUCCUUUGAAGAUAUCACUGCUAUCAAAACAGCCUUGCUACGGAGGAGAGCACUAGCUGUGACUUUCAGUUUUUCAGAAGCAUGA